rnacentral:rRNA from 1 species
UACAGAGGGUGCGAGCGUUAAUCGGAAUUACUGGGCGUAAAGCGCGCGUAGGUGGCCAUUUAAGUCCGCUGUGAAAGUCAAAGGCUCAACCUUUGAAAGCCGGUGGAUACUGGAUGGCUAGAGUACGGAAGAGGCGAGUGGAAUUCCUGGUGUAGCGGUGGAAUGCGCAGAUAUCAGGAGGAACACCAAUAGCGAAGGCAGCUCGCUGGGACGUUACUGACACUGAGGCGCGAAAGCGUGGGGAGCGAACAGG